rnacentral:lncRNA from 1 species
GUAAAAUUGUAAUUUUGCCAAAAUUUGAGUUAAGGAUUAAUUUGAUAAUGUGAGUAUUAAAUAAGCUAAAUGUGUUAUUUUAGAUCAAGAAAGACGUGGAAUAGACCUCAAUCGAGGAAAAGAAAAGAUUGUGGACUAAAUUGCAAAAUCUUUGUAUUUUGGUACCAAGGUAAGUUCAUGUGUAAAUAAUGUAGCAUAAUGGUUAUUUUUAAGUUAUUGAUGUUAAUUAUAUGUUAUGCU